rnacentral:lncRNA from 1 species
ACAAAUAUAAAAAUAUAUAUAUUAUUGGCCAUACAAGAUUGAUAAGGGAGAUUUAUAACUACUGAUACCCUUAUCUUUAUAACUUUAAGACUUCUCCAUAAAUUCUUCCUCUUGCUCAACAACAUUUUGUAGCAAAAGCAUAUAUAUAUAUAUAUAUAUAUAUAUAUAUAUAUAUAUAUAUAUAUAUAUAUAUAUAUANNN